CGGAGGGUGCGAGCGUUAUCCGGAAUUACUGGGUUUAAAGGGUGCGUAGGCGGCCAUGUAAGUCAGGAGUGAAAGUUUGCGGCUCAACCGUAAAAUUGCUUUUGAUACUGCAUGGCUGGAAUCAGGAUGAGGUCAGCGGAAUGUGGCAUGUAGCGGUGAAAUGCAUAGAUAUGCCAUAGAACACCAAUUGCGAAGGCAGCUGGCUAGACCUGUAUUGACGCUGAGGCACGAAAGCGUGGGGAGCGAGCAGGAUUAGAUACCCUGGUAGUCCACGCCCUAAACGAUGCUUACUCGACGUAUGAAGCUGGUCUUUGUGCGUCCAAGGGAAACCGUUAAGUAAGCCACCUGGGGAGUACGACCGCAAGGUUG
rnacentral:rRNA from 1 species